rnacentral:lncRNA from 1 species
AUGCUGGCUUCCUGGUAUGAACUCGGCUGUUCUCAUCAUUGUGGGCAGCUUGGGAUCUCAUUGUCGCUGAGGAUGGCUGUGGUACUUUUCCGGAGAGUGCUGCUCCUUAUUUCCAGUGUUUCUUUUGGGCUCCAGUGCAGAACCCUCAACCUACUGGCACGGAUCCUUCAUCCUCCAGGCAUAGACUUUCUAGCUUCCACUGCUGACCUUUGGGCCUUCCCGGCACCGAUCAGUGAAACAGACUUGCAUGAGCCAUUGUCAUGGGCUCUGGGUUUUCAGCUGAACUCAUGCAGAUUAUUGCCAUGGGGUCCUGGCCUUCAGGUGGAUUUUCUAGGUCUUCAGUGUUGUGGGCAGAUUUCCUGCACCUUCUUUGUAUUUGACUUCUUGGGUGACAAUGUUAACGGGAAGAGGACCAAGAGAUGGACUGAGGGAGGAAGGAGAGACGGAAGGGGAUGUUAAAAAAACUUUAGAUAUGUUCUGUAUGUGUACUGAUUCUCCAUGAUGAAUAUAAUCUUUAUGUACUGCGAACAUGGACUAAUAAAAAUUUUUAAAAGAUUGCUAUCUCCAUUUUGCCACAGAAAGUCAAGCAUAUCUACAAUUUUUAACAGAAGCAACCCUUCAAACUUCUAUUUCAUGUCCUUUUGCAACAGACAUUUGGCACAGUGACAUAGUUUUAUCACCC